rnacentral:rRNA from 1 species
UACGUAGGGUGCAAGCGUUAUUCGGAAUUACUGGGCGUAAAGCGUGCGCAGGCGGCUAUGCAAGUCAGCUGUGAAAUCCCCGGGCUCAACCUGGGAACUGCAUUUGUGACUGCAUGGCUAGAGUACGGUAGAGGGGGAUGGAAUUCCGCGUGUAGCAGUGAAAUGCGUAGAUAUGCGGAGGAACACCGAUGGCGAAGGCAAUCCCCUGGACCUGUACUGACGCUCAGGCACGAAAGCGUGGGGAGCAAACAGG